AAGUAUAAUCGAAACAGAGUUGGCUCCAUUUCCACCGUCACAUUUUUGGACUUCGGAGUAAAAGUGAAGUACGAUUUGAAUCCAUUUUUGGUGGAUUUGAUAGCCACAGAGAAUGGUACGUUGUUGAUACUAGACUCAGUGGCUGAGAAAGCAAAUCUAUGGAGACAGAAUGAUGUGCUCAUCUUCAACACCUACCAAUGGUGGUUUUACAGGGGAACCAAACAACCGUGGCAAUUUGUUAAAGUGGGAGACAAGAUAUUGAAAGACAUCGACCGAAAUAUUGC